rnacentral:rRNA from 1 species
AUUGAACGCUGGCGGAAUGCUUUACACAUGCAAGUCGAGCGGCAGCACGGGGGCAACCCUGGUGGCGAGCGGCGAACGGGUGAGUAAUACAUCGGAACAUGCCCAGUCGUGGGGGAUAACACUUCGAAAGAAGUGCUAAUACCGCAUACGUCCUGAGGGAGAAAGCGGGGGAUCGCAAGACCUCGCGCGAUUGGAGUGGCCGAUGUCAGAUUAGCUAGUUGGUGGGGUAAAGGCCUACCAAGGCAACGAUCUGUAGCUGGUCUGAGAGGAUGAUCAGCCACACUGGGACUGAGACACGGCCCAGACUCCUACGGGAGGCAGCAGUGGGGAAUUUUGGACAAUGGGGCAACCCUGAUCCAGCCAUUCCGCGUGAGUGAAGAAGGCCUUCGGGUUGUAAAGCUCUUUCGGCAGGAACGAAACGGUGAGCUCUAACAUAGCUCGCUAAUGACGGUACCUGAAGAAGAAGCACCGGCUAACUACGUG